rnacentral:rRNA from 1 species
UACAGAGGUGGCAAGCGUUGUUCGGAAUUACUGGGCGUAAAGGGCGCGUAGGCGGUUCGUUAAGUCCUGUGUGAAAUCCCCCGGCUCAACUGGGGAACUGCACAGGAAACUAGCGGGCUUGAGUUCGGGAGAGGGAAGCGGAAUUCCGGGUGUAGCGGUGAAAUGCGUAGAUAUCUGGAGGAACACCGGUGGCGAAGGCGGCAUCCUGGACCGAGACUGACGCUGAGGAGCGAAAGCCAGGGGAGCAAACGGG